rnacentral:rRNA from 1 species
UACGGGGGGGGGCAAGCGUUGUUCGGAAUUAUUGGGCGUAAAGGGCGCGUAGGCGGCCAUUCAAGUGACGGGUGAAAGCCCUCGGCUUAACCGAGGAACUGCCUGUCAGACUGGAUGGCUUGAGACCGGGAGAGGUGAGUGGAAUUCCCAGUGUAGCGGUGAAAUGCGUAGAUAUUGGGAGGAACACCAGUGGCGAAGGCGGCUCACUGGCUCGGUACUGACGCUGAGGCGCGAAAGCGUGGGGAGCAAACAGGG